rnacentral:rRNA from 1 species
UGGGGAAUUUGGACAAUGGGCGAAAGCCUGAUCCAGCAAUGCCGCGUGUGUGAAGAAGGCCUUCGGGUUGUAAAGCACUUUUGUCCGGAAAGAAAUCCUUGGCUCUAAUACAGUCGGGGGAUGACGGUACCGGAAGAAUAAGCACCGGCUAACUACGUGCCAGCAGCCGCGGUAAUACGUAGGGUGCAAGCGUUAAUCGGAAUUACUGGGCGUAAAGCGUGCGCAGGCGGUUUGCUAAGACCGAUGUGAAAUCCCCGGGCUCAACCUGGGAACUGCAUUGGUGACUGGCAGGCUAGAGUAUGGCAGAGGGGGGUAGAAUUCCACGUGUAGCAGUGAAAUGCGUAGAGAUGUGGAGGAAUACCGAUGGCGAAGGCAGCCCCCUGGGCAAUACUGACGCUCAUGCACGAAAGCGUGGGGAGCAAACAGGAUUAGAUACCCUGGUAGUCCACGCCCUAAACGAUGUCAACUAGUUGUUGGGGAUUCAUUUCCUUAGUAACGUAGCUAACGCGUGAAGUUGACCGCCUGGGGAGUACGGUCGCAAGAUUAAAACUCAAAGGAAUUGACGGGGUCAUAGCUG